rnacentral:rRNA from 1 species
GACGAACGCUGGCGGCGUGCUUAACACAUGCAAGUCGAACGGAAAGGCCCUGCUUUUGUGGGGUGCUCGAGUGGCGAACGGGUGAGUAACACGUGAGUAACCUGCCCUUGACUUUGGGGUAACUUCAGGAAAAUGGGGCUAAUACCGGAUAGGAGCUCCUGCUGCAUGGUGGGGGGUGGAAAGUUUCGGCGGUUGGGGAUGGACUCGCGGCUUAUCAGCUUGUUGGUGGGGUAGUGGCUUACCAAGGCUUUGACGGGUAGCCGGCCUGAGAGGGUGACCGGCCACAUUGGGACUGAGAUACGGCCCAGACUCCUACGGGAGGCAGCAGUGGGGAAUAUUGCACAAUGGGCGGAAGCCUGAUGCAGCAACGCCGCGUGCGGGAUGACGGCCUUCGGGUUGUAAACCGCUUUCGCCUGUGACGAAGCGUGAGUGACGGUAAUGGGUAAAGAAGCACCGGCUAACUACGUG